rnacentral:rRNA from 1 species
AGCGAACGCUGGCGGCAUGCUUAACACAUGCAAGUCGCACGACCGGGUUUCGGCCUGGGAGUGGCGGACGGGUGAGUAUCGCGUAGGGAUUUGUCGUUGGGGUGGGGACAACCUUGGGAAACGUGGGCUAAUACCGCAUGACGCCUUUGGGCCAAAGCUCGAGGAGGGCGCCCUGACGAGGAGCCUGCGGUCCCGAUUAGGUAGUUGGUUGGGUGAUGGCUGACCAAGCCUGCGACGGUAGCUGGUCUGAGAGGAUGGCC